UGAGGAAUAUUGGACAAUGGGUGAGAGCCUGAUCCAGCCAUCCCGCGUGCAGGAAGAAUGCCUUAUGGGUUGUAAACUGCUUUUAUACAGGAAUAAACCACUUUACGUGUAAGGUGUUGAAGGUACUGUAUGAAUAAGCAUCGGCUAACUCCGUGCCAGCAGCCGCGGUAAUACGGAGGAUGCAAGCGUUAUCCGGAUUUAUUGGGUUUAAAGGGUCCGUAGGCGGGCGUAUAAGUCAGGGGUGAAAUCCGACAGCUUAACUGUCGAACUGCCUUUGAAACUGUAUGUCUUGAGUGAGAUUGAAGCAGCUGGAAUGUGUAGUGUAGCGGUGAAAUGCAUAGAUAUUACACAGAACACCGAUAGCGUAGGCAGGUUGCUAAGUCUUUACUGACGCUGAUGGACGAAAGCGUGGGGAGCAAACAGGAUUAGAUACCCUGGUAGUCCACGCCGUAAACGUUGGAUACUGUCUAUUGGAAUUUUCAGUGGAUAAGCGAAAGUGAUAAGUAUCCCACCUGGGGAGUACGUUCGCAAGAAUGAAACUCAAAGGAAUUGACGGAGACGUCUACU
rnacentral:rRNA from 1 species